CUACGGGUGGCUGCAGUGAGGAAUUUUGCGCAAUGGGGGAAACCCUGACGCAGCAACGCCGCGUGAGUGAAGAAGGCCCUUGGGUCGUAAAGCUCUGUCAAUGGGGAAGAAGUUAUUAUGUGUUAAUAGCACAUUUUAUUGACGGUACCCAUGAAGGAAGCACCGGCUAACUCCGUGCCAGCAGCCGCGGUAAUACGGGGGGUGCAAGCGUUAUUCGGAAUUAUUGGGCGUAAAGGGCACGCAGGCGGUCCUGUCAGUCAGAUGUGAAAGCCCGGGGCUCAACCCCGGACGUGCAUUUGGAACAGCAGGACUUGAGUACGGGAGAGGGAAGGGGAAUUCCUGGUGUAGAGGUGAAAUUCGUAGAUAUCAGGAGGAACACCGGUGGCGAAGGCGCCUUUCUGGACCGAUACUGACGCUGAGGUGCGAAGGCGUGGGUAGCGAACGGGAUUAGAUACCCGGGUAGUC
rnacentral:rRNA from 1 species